AAGAUGUUACUCGACCUGGACUACUGAGGGGCUGGAUUCAUAUCUUAAGGGGUUGGUGUAAGCACGAAGAACAGCCCACAGACGACUAUGAUCAUCCAGACGCAGAACCUUACAUUUGCCCUCGGGCCUUCUGGGAGAUAAGCUCAUUUCAGCUCACAUUUUAUUCUUCUGGAUCGGCUUGACUUGGAGAAGACAGAAAACACCAAGUAAAAUCUUGAAUGGAUUUCUCAGCCUUCUGUCUGCUUGACUUUUACAUAAAGUGAGAAAUAGGCUCAGCAUUAGCUGUGGCCUUCUGCGAUAAUCUAAUAGAGAAAAUCUGUGGAGAGCCCUGAGAAUAACUUCAUAGUAAGUGAGCAUCCAAAAUUGAAUGACACAGAGAUCAUUUUGAUAUCUAUUGAAGAAAUCUCCUCGAUAACCCACUCCACUCAACCCUUCUGAGGUUUGCGCGCCAUGACACCUCACUGGGUCUGUGCCUUCAUUUGGUGGCAAAAUUAACUGCCGUCUUCGUUAUCUUUGGAAAGAGGGACACAGCUGAUGGUUUACAGUCAAACUGAGCUGGGAAGCAAACUUUCCUGCGUGAUCUCUACUUCAAGCCGCGGGUACAAUACCCAAACUGCUAACACCAACACACUGACACCUUGAUUGCAGGAAACAGUAUAUAGUUCUUCCCCACCCCUACAUGAAAAGAGAGAGAAGAGUACAGUACUUACGGAGGUGUAAGAUGCUCAUAUGCAGGAGGACUUAAUGAUCCCUGCAAGCUACCCGUCUUGGGGAAGAUGGAAUCGGGACAGGAAGGAGUUUGCGAUCAUAUUCAGGAAUGAAGGAAGACAACUUUCAUUUAAAAAUUCUUAUUUUAAGUAUCGUCUUUAAGUAUAACUUACCUUCUCUAACAGCAUAAAAGAAAGCCUGAAAUGUGCAAAGGGCUUUAGCUCAAUGGCGCUUCUUUAUGGAGUUUCAACAAAGAGAACUGAUUUCUUCUAAAGGACUUCAUAAUAUGAUAGGAAAAAUUAUCAGAGAUAAUGAGGAGAAAAUGGUAUUACAGUCCCGGAAGAAAAACACCUUAUAAGAGAUCCAGAAAUUCAGCACAAUCUUGAGUUAGAAUCCCAGUUGGGAUUGGCAUUUUGCAAUGCAUUAAAACAGCAAUGAUUAGUGCACUGAGCCACAAGGCUGACUUCGUCGAUCAUUCUCCAUCAAAACCCACAUUUUUUUAAAUAACAGUACACCACUGGACCCAAAUUCAGUGGUUUCCCAGAGACCAAUUUUUACUGUCAGAUGUUAAUAAACUAGUGUCAGCAUAGUUGGAUGAUU